GAUGAACGCUAGCGGCAGGCCUAAUACAUGCAAGUCGGACGGGAUUUGGGAGCUUGCUCCUAAUGAGAGUGGCGCACGGGUGCGUAACACGUAUGUAACCUACCUUUGUCAGGGGGAUAGCCUCUCGAAAGAGAGAUUAAGACCGCAUAACAUUAUAGAAUAGCAUUAUUUUAUAAUCAAAUAUUUAUAGGACAAAGAUGGGCAUGCGGAACAUUAGCUAGNGGUAGGGUAACGGCCUACCAAGGCUAC
rnacentral:rRNA from 1 species